GGAAGGGUGGCCGAGCGGUCGAAGGCGCACGACUGGAAAUCGUGUAGGGUCUAAAAGCCCUCGUGGGUUCGAAUCCCACCCCUUCCGCCA
rnacentral:tRNA from 2 species